rnacentral:rRNA from 1 species
AACGAACGCUGGCGGCGUGGCUAAGACAUGCAAGUCGUACGAUACGUUGUAGCAAUAUGGCGUAUAGUGGCGGACGGGUGAGUAAUGAAUAGGUAACGCACCCCGGGCACAGGGAUAACGUCGGGCGCAAGCCCUUUGCGAAAGUGACGGUAAUACCUGGUGACGUCUUUGGGUGGCAUCAUUUGAAGACCAGAGGUGGGGACCUUCGGGCCUACCGGCCUGGGAGCGGCCUAUUUCCUAUCAGCUAGUUGGUGAGGUAACGGCUCACCAAGGCAACGACGGGUAACCGGACUGAGAGGUUGGCCGGUCACAUCGGGACUGAGACACUGCCCGGACAUCUACGGAUGGCUGCAGUAACGAUAUUCCGCAAUGGCGCAAGCCUGACGGAGCGACGCCGCGUGGAGGACGAAGUCCCUCGGGAUGUAAACUCCUUUUAGGGUUAGGAAAGUGAUGCGCGCUAAUACCGCGCAAAGCGGAUCCAUCCCAGAAAAGCAUCGGCUAAUCCCGUG